CUCGGAAAAGCUCCUGGAGUUCAGUGUCACUCAUCUGCUCCAGCGCCUGAAGACUGCUGUGGUACAGAGCAUUGGUGCACCUGUGUGUGUCACUUUCUAAGCCCUCUUUCCCGUGGACGAGCUUGGUGACCUCAGCGGCCAGGCGUUUGUGUGCGGUCCGCUUGCCCGGGUCGUGUCUCUGCUGCUCCAUCACCUUCUCCACCUCAGCCAGUGGCAGGAACGUGAAGAACUUCAGACUCACGCUUCGACGCUGCUAUCGGGCAGCCGCAGGAAGUACUGGUAGAACUCAAACGGGGAUGUUUUAUCGGGGUUGAGCCACACAGCGUUGCCGGCCGUCUUGCCCAGUUUAUCUCCCAUCGAGGUCGUGACGAGAGGAACCGUCAGGCCGAACACUUCCUCUCCUGUCUUUCUGCACAAGAACAAAACAUCUUACACAUCAGAGGCUCGGCUGUAUCAUGACGGUUGUAUAAAUAAGAUUAACAACUACGUGUUUUAUUUUAUGCCACUCUUACUUAUUUGUAUUAAAAUGAAGCAAAUGAUAGCUACCAUCGAGAAAAUAUUACCAAUACUAGAAGUCUUAUUUUUAACACACACACAUACAUUUUAUAUAUAUAUAAUCACUGUACUUGUGUGUGAGCUCGUGUACCUGUGUAUAAGCUCAUGUCCGCUCAUGAUGUUCCCGAGCUGGUCGGUUCCUCCGAUCUGGAUCCUGCAGCCGUGGAUCUGAUGCAGACGGUAGAAGUCGAAGGCCUGGAAGAGCUGGUAGGAGAACUCGCUGAAGCUCAUGCCCUCGGCGCUCUUCAGGCGAGACUGCACGCUGUGUCUGCUGAGCAUCGAGCCCAUCCGAAAACACCGGCCGACCUCCGAGAAAAAGUCCAGCACCUGCCAGGAGGAUGCAGAAACCAAGCUCUUCUCUGAGUGUGUCGGGAAAGGAUUCAAAGCAUCAGCAAAUGGUUUUAUAAUAACAAAAUAAAAAAUAUUUAUUUUCAUAAACAAAAAGAAAAGAGGGAAAAUACUAAUUAUAAUAAUGUAAAGUAAAUAAUGUUCUAAUUAUUUUAUGGUUUAUAUGGCAGAAUAUAUGAUGUGCUCAAGUUUUUAAAUAUCCAUUAAUAAACAACUUUGGGUUCAGAUUUCA